rnacentral:rRNA from 1 species
GAUGAACGCUGACAGAAUGCUUAACACAUGCAAGUCUACUUGAUUCUACUUCGGUAGUUGAUGGUGGCGGACGGGUGAGUAACGCGUAAAGAAUCUGCCCUUUAGUUUGGGAUAACCUUUGGAAACGAAGGCUAAUACCGGAUAUUAUGGAGACGUCGCAUGACGACUCCAUGAAAGCUAUAUGCGCUAGAGGAGGACUUUGCGUCCCAUUAGUUAGUUGGUGAGGUAAUGGCUCACCAAGACCGCGAUGGGUAGCCGGCCUGAGAGGGUGAUCGGCCACAAGGGAACUGAGACACGGUCCUUACUCCUACGGGAGGCAGCAGUGGGGAAUAUUGGACGAUGGGGGCAACCCUGAUCCAGCCAUGCCGCGUGAGUGAUGAAGGCCUUAGGGUUGUAAAGCUCUUUCACCGGGGAAGAUAAUGACGGUACCCGGAGAAGAAGCCCCGGCUAACUUCGUGCCAGCCGCCGCAGUAA